AGUCCUUCAGUAUACAUGUGCACACUCACACACACAACCACACACACAGCACACACAGGUGAUACAGGAGAUAUACUGGCUUGGGUCUUUACCCCAGGGGGACCCUGAGUCCUUUUAGCUGUUGCUAGUGAGACCUGCUUCUUCGAUCAAAUUCCCACAAUCUGCAAGUGCUUUAAGAAGGCAUGGGGGCAAAAGGGCCUUGGAUUCAGCUCCAGAAACUUCUUAGCUGGUUGAUUAGAGAUCCAGACUGGGACCAGCAUCUGGACAAGCUCUACAUGUUACAACAGAAGAGGAUGUGGGAGUCCCCACUGCUUCGAGCGGCCAAGGAAAAUGACUUGUGUGCCCUGAAGAGACUUCUAGUAGACCAAAAGUGUGACUUUCGACAAAGAGGAGCCCUGGGGGAGACGGCGUUGCAUGUAGCUGCCCUCUAUGACAACCUGGAGGCCGCCAUGGCACUGAUAGAGACGGCCCCAGCUCUCGUCACAGAACCGAUUGGGUGUGAGCCAUUUGUAGGUCAGACUGCACUGCACAUCGCCGUCAUGAACCAGAACGUGAACCUGGUGCGCGCCCUGCUUGCCCGCGGGGCCAGCGUCUGUGCCAGAGCUACGGGCUUUGCCUUCCACCUCAGCCCCCACAACCUCAUCUACUAUGGAGAGCACCCGCUGUCCUUUGCUGCCUGUGUGGGCAGUGAGGAGAUCGUCCGGCUGCUCAUCGAGCAUGGCGCUGACAUUCGGGCCCAGGACUCCCUGGGAAACACGGUGCUUCACAUCCUCAUCCUGCAGCCCAACAAAACCUUUGCCUGUCAGAUGUACAACCUGCUGCUGUCGUAUGAUGGAGGGGACCACCUGCAGUCCUUGGAAAUGGUGCCCAACCACCAGGGCCUCACCCCCUUCAAGCUGGCCGGAGUGGAGGGCAACACAGUGAUGUUCCAACACCUGAUGCAGAAGCGGAAGCACAUCCAGUGGACGUACGGGCCGCUCACCUCCACCCUCUAUGACCUCACCGAGAUCGACUCUUGGGGAGAAGAGUUGUCGUUUCUGGAGCUCGUGGUCUCCUCCAAGAAGCGCGAGGCUCGCCAAAUCCUAGAACAGACUCCAGUGAAGGAGCUGGUGAGCCUAAAGUGGAAGAAAUACGGGCGGCCCUACUUCUGUGUACUGGGCACCUUGUACAUCCUGUACAUGAUCUGCUUCACCACUUGCUGUGUCUACCGCCCCCUCAAGUUCCGAGAUGGCAACCGCACAAGUUCUCGGGAUAACACCAUCCUCCAACAGAAGCUCCUGCAGGAGGCCUAUGUGACUUACCAGGAUAACAUCCGGCUGGUGGGGGAGCUGGUGACCAUCAUUGGGGCUGUGAUUAUCCUGCUCCUAGAGAUCCCAGACAUUUUCAGAGUCGGAGCCUCGCGAUAUUUUGGACAGACAGUCCUUGGGGGUCCAUUUCAUGUCAUUAUCAUCACUUUUGCCUCCCUUGUGCUGGUGACCAUGGUGAUGAGGCUCACUAAUGUGGAUGGGGAAGUGGUACCCAUAUCCUUGGCCCUGGUGUUGGGCUGGUGCAGUGUUAUGUACUUCACUCGAGGAAUUCAGAUGCUGGGUCCCUUCACCAUCAUGAUCCAGAAGAUGAUAUUUGGAGACUUGAUGCGUUUCUGCUGGUUGAUGGCUAUGGUCAUUCUGGGAUUUGCCUCUGCAUUCUAUAUCAUUUUCCAGACAGAAGACCCAGACAAUCUGGGGGAAUUCUCGAACUAUCCCACGGCACUGUUCAGCACCUUCGAGCUGUUCCUCACCAUCGUCGACGCCCCCGCCAACUACAGCGUGGAUCUGCCCUUCAUGUACAGCAUCGCUUACUCCGCCUUCGCCAUCAUCGCCACCCUGCUCAUGCUCAACCUCUUCAUCGCCAUGAUGGGUGACACUCACUGGCGCGUGGCCCAGGAGAGGGACGAGCUCUGGAGAGCCCAGGUUGUGGCCACCACAGUGAUGCUGGAAAGGAAGAUGCCUCGCUUCCUGUGGCCUCGAUCGGGCAUCUGUGGGUGUGACUAUGGCCUGGGAGACCGCUGGUUCUUGAGGUGAGUGCCAGUGUGUAUGUGUGACCCGAGGACUUGUGUGCACCACAGGAGCAAGAGCCAUCAGGCGAUGAUGUGAUGAGACUGUGGGAGUCUGUCAUGCAGAAAGAGUCUCGGGGCAGUGAUGGUUGUGUUGUGAUCUUGCUCGGGUGAGCAUGGGUUACCCAACUUGCUUUAGUGUUUUCUACUUGUCCCUCAUUUCCAUUUUACUCUGCUCUUGAAUCUCACUUCCUUCUUGAUAUUCUGUCCUCAUCUCUUGACCUGGCUCUCCCUCUCUCCUCUAAGGUGUUUCCUGAGUUGCAUCUUCUGAAGUUGUGACUUCUGAAGUGACUGUUUUCUCUUUCACUUUCCCCUAAAUCAGUGCCACACCCAUGUCUUUCAGCCCUCCAAAUCCAAUUACUCACCCUCUUUCCUUGGCUUCCUAGUUGAGCCUCUCCUCCACCCCCUUCUCCUCCCUUGAUCCUAGAUGCUCUUCCUGCUUCAAUCCUGGUCCUCUCCUCUGCUAUCUAUCCUUGUAAUCCUAUUUCCUCCUUUCUCACCUCUGCUUCUCUCAAAGGCCUGAUCUCUCCUUGG